GCCCGGGUGGUGAAAUUGGUAGACACAAGAGACUUAAAAUCUCUCGAUCGAAAGAUCAUGCGGGUUCAAGUCCCGCUCCGGGCACCA
rnacentral:tRNA from 1 species